AAAAAUGGAGUGGCCGCGUGGUGCAGAUUAAAAAUGUAAAAGUGCAAAAACCAUAAAUUAAACGUGAAAAAAAAGUGCUUAUAAAUAUUCGACACACGGCUUCAAUUCGUCGUGGUGUCUGUAUUAACACCCUCGUGGGGCUAUAAUCGACGGGACGUCGCCGCAUAAAUCUACAAGCAUCAAAACUGACCGCGUAGCCACACAAAGUGUUAAAUUGGGAGCACAAACAAAGCAACACGACACCGCACUCAUGGAGAACUCAUCGGCGACGCAACAAAAUGAAGAAAACGAUCAACAGUUGCGGCAGUCCAGCGACACUCAAUCUCAUCAUUUGAAGCAAACUAUUGGUGAUUUUCUGUGGCGGCUUUUACCAUAUUACAGAUAGUCAUAAUUUGGUUGUAAUCCGGUAUAGAUUACGCUGCUACCUGCUUACUCUCGAAUAACCUUUGGCGGGCGCCGAUAAAUGGUCUACGAGUGAUUCUUCAGCGGUUUUAAGGUAAAUUAUCUCACUUUGCGGGUUUAUUACUCCCCGAACCGAUAACAAAUAAAGAGGUAAGGGCCCAACCGUUGUAUCAACGGUGGCUGAGUAGUUGUUUCCGUCUUUGAUAACAAAAAUAACGCUCUGAAGGAAAUUACAUGUGCGAACCACAUUGUAACACAAACUUUCGGUAUAUCUGGUUCUGCAGGCUGAUUUAAAGCAGUUAAUUUUUACACUCACGGAAGACGAGUUUACGAAUGUAAUAAACAGCGAAUAAAAUCAAUCAAAGGUGAUAUUUUAAACACUUGCGCUCGAUGCACGCACCCAGUGUGACGCUUAGCAAUUACACGCGUGUGCAGACCUUCUUAAGAAGUCGCUGCAAUUGAAAAAUGAGAAAACUCGUAUGCCGCGCGCAGAAAUCCCCUGUAAUAAGUUGUAGACCUGUCGAUGGUACCCUGGUAAGAACGCAGAUAUCGCGUGAUGACGACGAAUAUGUUAGCGCAAAAGAUUCAUAAUUCAUCAUGGUAAUAAUUUGGUAUUUAAUUCUGACCUAAAUAAAAAGAAAUAUCAGGUAUUUUAAUUAAAUCAACAUAUUUAUAGACUCUCAGAGUUUUGAUAAGUUGAUAACGCCAAUUACAAGAAUUUCGCUUGUUAUGUAAAACAUUCGGAGAUCUUUGUGUUGUGAUUUAAAUUUGGAGCCUCUUUGUGUGUGGCAUUCGAGUCAAAUAAACUUGUACGCGUCAACGAAUCGCAUCGAUCAUCUUUAUGCAUUCAUCGGGCCUUCGAUUCUCUUCUAUGACCGUCAUGGAAUGAAAAUCACCAAAUGCAGCGUACCAGCGUAUUCAAACGACUGGUAGGAUCUCCUCGUUCUAAGAUCGGAUCACUGAAUGCAAUUCGACUGAAGCCGGAUCUUUUGCAUAACAUGUCAAUCAAGUGCAUUCAAAAUACUCUACCGGGACUUAGGACGACUUGAACGCUGACUUAAAUUUCGAAUGAGAAGGUUUGGAAAUUCUGACGUGCGUUCGGAAUGUGCACUGGAGAGGACUUUUUCUCACAACGUCCCAACAAAUCAGGUAGAUAUUUUUUGCUGAUUACAGGGAAACAUCGACGACGACAAUCAACAACUCGAUUAUGGCAUUAUCUGCAUGAUGCAACCAGAACGAAGGAGAAAUGGUCUCGUAUCGGGUCUUCAGUAUCAUCCUAGCAACUUAGAAGAGAGAUAAAUCAACGAGUUUCAACUUAUCAUCGAGCUCCAACUGAUGAAGACAUUAAAAUAUCAUCAAUUUAUAUUCUGCACAUUUUUGGUGUAAGUUACGGUGAAAGUACUAUGGGAAAUGUAUACAUUUUCAACUACA